GUGCCACAAAGGUUUACUGCAACUUCACAAACUGGAAUUAGUUUGUUGAUACGAUCAUGAGUAGAGUUUGAAAUUAAUCCCAUGUCCAAUGCAUAGUCGGUGUAUGCAGGGUAUUGUAUUUUGGGAUCUGUAAGCCCAUUCCCAAUGGCAAAUCCCUUUAAGUUUAUAUGUGUUCCUUCUUUACCCUUAUUUCCUUUGUGUACUCUUGCAGCAAAAGCAGGAAUGUAGUGCCCAGCAUAUGAUUCUCCGGUUAUGUAAAAAUCGUUCUUUACAAGCUCUGGAUGCUCCUCAAAGAACGCCUGAAUAAAGUCAUACAAGUCAUCGCUAACGCAUGCUUCAGUGUGACAGAGGUCACGUCUGUCAGAACUGUAACUGAAGCCAGUACCUGUAGGUUGGUCUACAUAGAUAAGGUUUGAUACCUU
rnacentral:misc_RNA from 1 species